CCUGCGCACUGGCGAGAGUGAAGCCAGCGAUCUUCCUCGGGUUGAGCAAGGUGCAUUCUGAGUAUAAAUACUCUCCAGGCUCCUCCUCUUCCCCUCCCCACCCUCUUUCCUCCCCUUCCCCUUCUCUCUCCUCCAUCUAGACGGGUCUCUAAAACUAAAAGUUGCUGGGGAGGUGCCCAUCUGCAUUGCUAAAGGAAAUGCUUCACCUGAAGCUCAGGGUACCAAUGAAAUCACAGGUCCUGUCCAAGUCCGUUGUUUUUUUCAACAACAAUAAUAAUUUAUAUGUCACAUUCACGUUUGCAAAGGGCUUUCCAUAUGCAAAGGAUCUCCUUCCACCCUGUGAGGAGACACCUUGUUUUCCAGAGCUGAGGCCCAGCAAGCAAGCAAGCUAUGCCCUGAGCUUGGCAAAACAAUCCUUUGAACUGUGGAUGAAUUCUGCUACAGCUAAAUCACAGAAUUGAUUCAAACCAGCCCCAGUUGGUUCCUGAGUUUGGAUAAGCACCUACAGAAACUAUGUUCCAGUCAUGAAGCCCUGCUAUGAAUAGACUUUUUUGUCACUAGGCAAACUUGCUUCAUUGUUGCUGUUAUACCUCACUACUUGGUUCUUUGUGGAGCCACAACUAUAUGUAUCAAGGCUUAGCCUUGCUGCCUAGGGCUCUCCUUGGUCUUAGGUGUACACCUGUUUAAUUUCCCUCCUCCAAUGAAAUAAAGAAUUGUUUUGUCUAUA